rnacentral:rRNA from 2 species
AGGUUAAGUUAACAAGGGCGCAUGGUGAAUGCCUUGGCACUAGGAGCCGAUGAAGGACGGGACUAACACCGAUAUGCUUCGGGGAGCUGUACGUAAGCUAUGAUCCGGAGAUUUCCGAAUGGGGCAACCCAGCAGUUUUAAUCAACUGUUACCACUAGAUGAAUUCAUAGUCUAGUUGGAGGUAAACGCUGUGAACUGAAACAUCUCAUUAGCAGCAGGAAUAUAAAGAAAUUUCGAUUCCCUAAGUAGCGGCGAGCGAACGGGGAACAGCCCAAACCAAAGUGCUUGCACUUUGGGGUUGUAGGACUGAACAUUUGAGUUACCAAAGAACUUGAUAGUCGAAGGAUUUGGGAAAAUCCGCCAUAGAUGGUGAUAGCCCAGUAGAUUAAAUCAAAUUCUCUCAGUUCAGGAUCCUGAGUACGGCGGAACACGUGAAAUUCCGUCGGAAUCCGGGAGGACCAUCUCCCAAGGCUAAAUACUACCUAGUGACCGAUAGUGAACCAGUACCGUGAGGGAAAGGUGAAAAGCACCCCGGGAGGGGAGUGAAAUAGUUCCUGAAACCAUGUGCCUACAAUAAGUCAGAGCGCGUUAAUGCGUGAUGGCGUGCCUUUUGUAGAAUGAACCGGCGAGUUAUGAUCCCGUGCAAGGUUAAGACUAAAAAGUCGGAGCCGUAGCGAAAGCGAGUCUGAAAUGGGCGUUUUGAGUACGAGGUUAUAGACCCGAAACCAGGUGACCUAUCCAUGUCCAGGUUGAAGGUGCGGUAAAACGCACUGGAGGACCGAACCCGUGUAAGUUGAAAAUUGCUGGGAUGAGGUGUGGAUAGCGGUGAAAUUCCAAACGAACUUGGAGAUAGCUGGUUCUCUCCGAAAUAGCUUUAGGGCUAGCCUCGGAAUUAGGAUCAUGGAGGUAGAGCACUAUUUGGACUAGGGGCCCGUCUUGGGUUACUGAAUUCAGAUAAACUCCGAAUGCCAUUGAUUCAUAUCCGGGAGUCAGACGAUGAGUGAUAAGAUCCACCGUCGAAAGGGGAACAGCCCAGACCAUCAGUUAAGGUCCCUAAAUGUAUGCUAAGUGGAAAAGGAUGUGGAGUUGCAUAGACAACUAGGAUGUUGGCUCAGAAGCAGCCACCAUUUAAAGAGUGCGUAAUAGCUCACUAGUCGAGUGAUCCUGCGCCGAAAAUGUACCGGGGCUAAGCAUACUACCGAAACCAUGGAUGCGACCAUUAGGUCGCGUGAUAGGAGAGCGUUCUAAGGGCGGUGAAGCAAGAUCGUGAGGACUUGUGGAGCGCUUAGAAGUGAGAAUGCCGGUAUGAGUAGCGAAAGAUAGGUGAGAAUCCUAUCCACCGAAUGACUAAGGUUUCCUGGGGAAGGCUCGUCCUCCCAGGGUUAGUCGGGACCUAAGUCGAGGCCGAGAGGCGUAGACGAUGGAUAACAGGUUGAGAUUCCUGUACUAGUUAAGUGCGUUUGAGCAAUGGAGGGACGCAGGAGGCUAAGAUGUGCAUUCUGUUGGAUUAGAAUGUCCAAGCAGUAAGUCUUGUGAAGAGUCAAAUGCUUUUCACUUUGAGGACAAGCUGUGAUGGGGAGCGAAAUUUAGUAGCGAAGCGUCUGAUGUCACACUGCCGAGAAAAGCUUCUAGUGAGUACUUAACUACCCGUACCGCAAACCGACACAGGUAGUCGAGGAGAGAAUCCUAAGGUGAGCGAGUGAACUCUCGUUAAGGAACUCGGCAAAAUGACCCCGUAACUUCGGGAGAAGGGGUGCUGAUCGCAAGAUCAGCCGCAGUGAAUAGGCCCAGGCGACUGUUUAUCAAAAACACAGGUCUCUGCAAAAUCGUAAGAUGACGUAUAGGGGCUGACGCCUGCCCGGUGCUGGAAGGUUAAAAGGAUGGGUUAGCUUCGGCGAAGCUCAGAAUUGAAGCCCCAGUAAACGGCGGCCGUAACUAUAACGGUCCUAAGGUAGCGAAAUUCCUUGUCGGGUAAGUUCCGACCCGCACGAAAGGCGUAACGAUCUGGGCACUGUCUCAACGAGAGACUCGGUGAAAUUAUAUUGUCCGUGAAGAUGCGGACUACCCGCGACAGGACGGAAAGACCCCAUGGAGCUUUACUGUAGCUUGAUAUUGAGUGUUUGUACAGCUUGUACAGGAUAGGUAGGAGCCAUAGAAACCGGAACGCUAGUUUCGGUGGAGGCGUUGGUGGGAUACUACCCUCGCUGUAUGACCACUCUAACCCGCACCACUAAUCGUGGUGGGAGACAGUGUCAGGUGGGCAGUUUGACUGGGGCGGUCGCCUCCUAAAAAGUAACGGAGGCGCCCAAAGGUUCCCUCAGAAUGGUUGGAAAUCAUUCGCAGAGUGUAAAGGCACAAGGGAGCUUGACUGCGAGACAGACAGGUCGAGCAGGGACGAAAGUCGGGCUUAGUGAUCCGGUGGUACCGUAUGGAAGGGCCAUCGCUCAACGGAUAAAAGCUACCCUGGGGAUAACAGGCUUAUCUCCCCCAAGAGUCCACAUCGACGGGGAGGUUUGGCACCUCGAUGUCGGCUCAUCGCAUCCUGGGGCUGUAGUCGGUCCCAAGGGUUGGGCUGUUCGCCCAUUAAAGCGGUACGCGAGCUGGGUUCAGAACGUCGUGAGACAGUUCGGUCCCUAUCCGUCGCGGGCGUAGGAAAUUUGAGAGGACCUGUCCUUAGUACGAGAGGACCGGGAUGGACAUACCUCUGGUGUACCAGUUGUGCCGCCAGGCGCAUCGCUGGGUAGCUACGUAUGGAUGUGAUAAACGCUGAAAGCAUCUAAGUGUGAAACACACCUCGAGAUGAGAUUUCCCAUUCCUUUAUGGAAGUAAGACCCCUGAAAGAUGAUCAGGUAGAUAGGUUAGAAGUGGCAGUGCGGUGACGCAUGAAGCGGACUAAUACUAAUCGGUCGAGGACUUAACCAAG